rnacentral:rRNA from 1 species
GUCUUUUUGAUUAUAAUUUAAGGUUUAAUCUGCCCACUGAUAUAUUAAUUAAAGGGCUGCAGUAUAUUGACUGUACAAAGGUAGCAUAAUAAUUAGUCUUUUAAUUGAAGACUUGUAUGAAAGAUUUGAUGAGAUAUUAACUGUCUCUUUUUUAUAUUUAAAAUUUAAUUUUUUAGUAAAAAAGCUAAAAUUUUUUUAAAAGACGAGAAGACCCUAUAGAGUUUUAUAAUUAAAUUAAUUAUAUAUUUAUAUAUAAUUAAUUAUAUUUAAUUAAUUUAAUUAUUAUGUUGGGGUGAUAGAAAAAUUAAUUAAACUUUUUUUUUUAUUAAACAUUAAUUAAUGAAUAAUUGAUCCAUAAAUUAUGAUUAAAAGAAAAAAUUACCUUAGGGAUAACAGCGUAAUUUUUUUUUUUAGUUCUUAUAAGAAAAAAAGUUUGCGACCUCGAUGUUGGAUUAAGAUAAAAUUUAAAUGCAGAAGUUUAAAAUUUUGAUCUGUUCGAUCAUUAAAAUCUUACA